UACGUAGGGGGCAAGCGUUGUCCGGAUUUAUUGGGCGUAAAGAGCGUGUAGGCGGCUUGACAGGUCUGCUGUGAAAACUCGAGGCUCAACCUCGAGAUGUCGGCGGAAACCGUCUGGCUAGAGUCCGGAAGAGGAGAGUGGAAUUCCUGGUGUAGCGGUGAAAUGCGCAGAUAUCAGGAGGAACACCGGUGGCGAAGGCGGGUCUCUGGGUAGUAACUGACGCUGAGGAACGAAAGCGUGGGUAGCGAACAGG
rnacentral:rRNA from 1 species